rnacentral:rRNA from 1 species
ACGGCUCAGUAACACGUGGCCAAACUACCCUCUGGAGCGCGACAACCUCGGGAAACUGAGGCUAAUCGUGCAUACCGCUCUCACGCUGGAAGUUGCGGAGAGCUCGAAAUGCUCCGGCGCCAGAGGAUGUGGCUGCGGCCGAUUAGGUAGACGGUGGGGUAACGGCCCACCGUGCCAGUAAUCGGUACGGGUUGUGAGAGCAAGAGCCCGGAGACGGUAUCUGAGACAAGAUACCGGGCCCUACGGGGCGCAGCAGGCGCGAAACCUUUACACUGCACGCCAGUGCGAUAAGGGGACUCCAAGUGCGAGGGCAUAGAGCCCUCGCUUUUCUGUACCGUAAGGUGGUACAAGAAUAAGUGCUGGGCAAGACCGGUGCCAGCCGCCGCGGUAAUACCGGCAGCACGAGUGAUGGCCGCUCUUAUUGGGCCUAAAGCGUCCGUAGCUGGCCGCGCAAGUCCAUCGGGAAAUCCGCACGCCUAACGUGCGGGCGUCCGGUGGAAACUGCGUGGCUUGGGACCGGAAGAUCCAGAGGGUACGUCCGGGGUAGGAGUGAAAUCCUGUAAUCCUGGACGGACCACCGGUGGCGAAAGCGCUCUGGAAAGACGGAUCCGACGGUGAGGGACGAAAGCUCGGGUCACGAACCGGAUUAGAUACCCGGGUAGUCCGAGCUGUAAACGAUGUCUGCUAGGUGUGCCACAGGCUACGAGCCUGUGGUGUGCCGUAGGGAAGCCGUGAAGCAGACCGCCUGGGAAGUACGUCCGCAAGGAUGAAACUUAAAGGAAUUGGCGGGGGAGCAC